AGCCCAUCCACCAGAGGAGGGCAGGCUUUGGAGACAGAAUUCUGGGAGAGCCAAUGUCCCCAACCCUGCUCAAGGCCUUCACCCUUAGGUGUCCAGGCCACAUGGUGGGUGCAGACCAGAUGCCUGCGGGGGGCAUGCCUGCUGCUGGGGGCCGUGGGCCCUGCAACGGCGCACAGACACCACAGUGCCUCCCCGAGCCACGUCCAGGACGGGCAAUGGGGACGAAGACCAGCAGGAGAGGAACAUUCGAUGUGAACCCUGAGCCCACCAGACGGGAAGGGAGAUGGAGGCGCAGAGCACAGGGCCCGCAGGGGGCCAUUCCGAACACGGGGAACACGGCCUCGAGCGCGCGUAACGGCUGCUGGGAACCGCCCUAUGGACGUCGCUUGCGGACUGGCUGAGGGGGUCACGGACCGAAGGUCAUGAUCUCGCGGUUCGUGGGUUCGAGC